CAUUAUAGUUGUCAGAAGUGGUCAUCGCCACGAUGAACAAGGGAAUUCUGUUUGUGUUUCUUAUUCUUGCCGCCUGCAUCGUGAAGGGAGACCCAGGAACAAUCAUCCGCUACCGUCAUCACGUGGUUCCCGUAUCACGGUACAUCUAUAGUCACUACCACGACUAUCACGAUCAUCAUGAUCACGUAGACCACCUUUACUACCCUGAUCACUAUCACUACCACGAUCAUCACUGGUAAAUAGCAACCAUCAGCGUCUUGGCUUGUUCUAGUGUCUAUAUGAACAAACAA